rnacentral:rRNA from 1 species
UACGUAGGGCGCAAGCGUUGUCCGGAAUUAUUGGGCGUAAAGAGCUCGUAGGCGGUUUGUCGCGUCGGGAGUGAAAACACUGGGCUUAACCGAGUGCUUGCUUCCGAUACGGGCAGACUUGAGGCAUUGAGGGGAGAACGGAAUUCCUGGUGUAGCGGUGAAAUGCGCAGAUAUCAGGAGGAACACCGGUGGCGAAGGCGGUUCUCUGGCAAUGUUCUGACGCUGAGGAGCGAAAGUGUGGGGAGCGAACAGG